rnacentral:piRNA from 1 species
UACAGAUGUUUACUUCUGACUAAACUGAUGC